rnacentral:rRNA from 1 species
ACUCGAGUGGCGAACGGGUGAGUAACACGUGGGUGAUCUGCCUUGCACUUCGGGAUAAGCCUGGGAAACUGGGUCUAAUACCGGAUAGGACCAUGCUUUAGUGUGUGUGGUGGAAAGUUUUUCGGUGCAAGAUGGGCCCGCGGCCUAUCAGCUUGUUGGUGGGGUAAUGGCCUACCAAGGCGACGACGGGUAGCCGGCCUGAGAGGGUGUACGGCCACAUUGGGAUUGAGACACGGCCCAG